AGCCAUUUCAAUACCUGUGUAAUUGUAUAUUGGUUUAGUAUAUUUGAUAUAUAUAGAGUGUAUAUAAUGGGCAGUGAUGAUAAAUACUUUGGGCUCAUGUGUUGGGCCACUGACACUUAUGAGCCUAAUGGGUCAUAUCUGAGCCCGGGUCAAUUGUACCCGACCCGGUCCGUUUCAUCUUUAUUUUGUAAGUAUAUGUUUAGUGUAGGGGAAGCUUCUGGACAGAUAUUAUUCAUUUUUUCUCUUUUCCCAAUAACCGACUCUUCAGUUCUCUCAAACUCUCUUCCUUCUCUCUACUUUCUCUCUCUAGUUUCUCUGUGAUUUUAUCGAUUAAUCUGAACAUUUACAUGGUAUCAGAGCCUUACAACGAUCCGAUCAUGUUUAUUCGCAUAUCAGUAUCACUUUUGAACAUUUGUUUGACGAUUUUUGACGAUUUUUCUGAGAUCGAAUGGUUAGAGAUGAUUCAGUUUUUGAUCGGACAUGGUUCAAAGUGUUUUACACCAUAAUAUCCGGGUAAAUCUUCUUAACAUCAACGUUUUAACAACGUUUUGAUCGGUUUUGGGUGAUUUCUGGUGAGUUAUCGGUAUCUAGG
rnacentral:lncRNA from 1 species